CGUACCGGUCCCUCCUGGCCAGGCAGAGGAGGAGUGAUCUGGUGUUGUAAUUAAUUCCUCCCUCACCAAUGCCAGAAAUGCAGCUGCAGAGCGGUUUUUAUGCAACUAAUAACUCCCGUUAACGUACAUCUGGCAGGAGCCGUACAUCCUGGGCUCAGCCCAUGUGGGAGACGCUUUUCCUCCCUCCAUCUCCGAUCCAGAGGUUGAACAUGAAUCUAGCGGCGGCUACUCCUUCCUCAGGCUUUAACCUGCCAAGCACUAACCUUCAUCCGAGGCUGCCUUUCCCCCAGCACCACCCCCAGACAUGUUUUAAACCCAUUUAUUUGGUUAUGGGGGGCAGUUAUCUCCACACAGCUCGGCGCAGAGAUUUGGGGCGUGCGCCUGCCUGGAUUUAUCUCAGCAAAACUCUUUCCCCACGCGUCCUUCUCAGCCACAAAUCCCAUCCCCACACAGAACCGGUGCUUCUGUGGCAGUGCCUGCUUCCCCUGGCCAGACAGUGGAAACAUUUGCACAUGCUGCCCGCAGAGCAGUUUCAUGUGUGCUUCGAACCGUGCCAAUAACGGCCUUGCAACACUUGCCGGGAGUUUUUGCUCAGAGGGUGGAUCCAGCCGGCGAUGAAACAUCCCAUGUGCACCCACCCUUGCACAGCUGCUGCAGCAGGGGAUGCCUGCCGAGACCCCCUGUCCGGGCAGGGGUGACCAGUGCCACGUGGAGAUGCAGGGUCAUGAGUACCAGCUCUGCCUGAGCAGCCAGGGUUCCCAUCACGAUUCCCAGGACAAAAUUCCCCUUGUCUUAACCCGUGUCAUUCCCCUGCUGUGAUUCAGCGCCCAGCAUCAUGCUCUGGCUGGUUUCUGCUGAGGAGGACGACACACACACACAAAAAAACCCCAAAAACACCAAAAAAACUGUUUAUCGUCAAACUGCAUCUGAAAGUGGCAGGAAAAGGAACUGGGCAGGAACUGGCAAGCGUCUGGCAGCCACAGGCAAGGCUCACCAGGGGCUUUGAAGUCACCGGUGUGGGAGGUGCAGCCGGGGGGCUUGGAGAAGCCCUGUCCCCUCAGCAUCCACCCCCCCGCCACGACCCCCAGUAGCACCCUGGCCCCAGCAGGGAGGGGGGAAGCCCUAGCAGGAAGCCCUCCCCGUGAAGCUCUUUCGGGGUGUUUUUAACACUUUUUUUGCUUUUUUAUCUCCACAGCUCCUCAGUACUCCUCCUUCCCAUUGAGGUUCAGCUUGUACCCACUUGGUGACAGAUUCUGCCCGGGCACGGGCACCUCCAGGGCUUGGCCUCAGCUCCGCCAGCAGCCAGGCUCCGCAGCCCGAGCGGGACUCAUUAAGGCAGGAAAUUAGGUGGAAAAACAACAAAUGCUGAGAAAUCGCAGGGCCGGGUGAGAAGGGCUGGGCAGCGUCUGGCCCCCGCCUUGCUGCUCAAGCACUGAAACUGGCCUCAGUGCCCCGCACCCGAUUCCAGGUUAUCACAGCCGUGUUAUGGGGGCGUUUCACCCAAGAAAGGGCAGCGCCAGGGCCAGCAGUGCCACGAGCACACGUGUGUGUCAGCCACCACAGUGCCACCUCUACCCUGCCUGUGUCGUCCAUUGCCCCCCCAGCGCCGGGGCCCCCCAGGGCUGGCUGAGUGCCCAGCUCCCCAAUGCCUGCAGCCACCAGUGCCUUUUUGGGAAGCAGCCGGCACGCAGGGCCGUGUUCGCGCCCGUCCCCGGGCUCCCCGCCAGCCCCGGGGCGCUGUGCCAGCCCUCGCACCCCCCACCGGGGGAAACUGAGGCAGGACACCCAGCAGAUCCCACCUGUGCCCCUUCCCAUGGGGCAUCAUUGUCCUGUGCCCCCCAAACUCAUCAGGGUGCCACGGUGUUGCCCUACAGCCCCCCAGCCCCUGGGGGUGCCA